GACGAACGCUGGCGGCGUGCCUAAUACAUGCAAGUCGAACGCACAGUUUAUACCGUAGCUUGCUACACCAUAAACUGUGAGUUGCGAACGGGUGAGUAACGCGUAGGUAACCUGCCUGGUAGCGGGAGAUAACUAUUGGAAACGAUAGCUAAUACCGCAUAAUAUUAAUUAUUGCAUGAUAAUUGAUUGAAAGAUGCAAUUGCAUCACUACCAGAUGGACCUGCGUUGUAUUAGCUAGUAGGUGAGGUAACGGCUCACCUAGGCGACGAUACAUAGCCGACCUGCGAGGGUGAUCGGCCACACUGGGACUGAGACACGGCCCAGACUCCUACGGGAGGCAGCAGUAGGGAAUCUUCGGCAAUGGACGAAAGUCUGACCGAGCAACGCCGCGUGAGUGAAGAAGGUUCUCGGAUCGUAAAGCUCUGUUGUAAGAGAAGAACGGGUGUGAGAGUGGAAAGUUCACACUGUGACGGUAUCUUACCAGAAAGGGACGGCUAACUCCGUG
rnacentral:rRNA from 1 species